UACGUAGGAGACGAGCGUUGUCCGGAGUUACUGGGCGUAAAGCGUGCGCAGGCGGUUUUGUAAGUCAGAUGUGAAAUCCCCGGGCUUAACCUGGGAACUGCGUUUGAAACUACAAGGCUAGAGUGUGGCAGAGGGGGGCGGAAUUCCACGUGUAGCAGUGAAAUGCGUAGAGAUGUGGAGGAACACCGAUGGCGAAGGCAGCCCCCUGGGUUAACACUGACGCUCAGGCACGAAAGCGUGGGGAGCAAACAGG
rnacentral:rRNA from 1 species